UACGGGGGGGGCAAGCGUUGUUCGGAAUUACUGGGCGUAAAGCGCACGUAGGCGGCUUCUUAAGUCAGGGGUGAAAUCCUGGAGCUCAACUCCAGAACUGCCUUUGAUACUGAGGAGCUUGAGUCCGGGAGAGGUGAGUGGAACUGCGAGUGUAGAGGUGAAAUUCGUAGAUAUUCGCAAGAACACCAGUGGCGAAGGCGGCUCACUGGCCCGGUACUGACGCUGAGGUGCGAAAGCGUGGGGAGCAAACAGG
rnacentral:rRNA from 1 species